rnacentral:misc_RNA from 1 species
GAUGAAGAACGCAGCGAAAUGCGAUACGUAGUGUGAAUUGCAGAAUUCAGUGAAUCAUCGAAUCUUUGAACGCACAUUGCGCCUCUCGGUAUUCCGGGAGGUAUGCCUGUUCGAGCGUCAUUUGUACCCUCAAGCUCUGCUUGGUGUUGGGUGUUUGUUCCGCCUCUGUGUGUGAACUCGCCUCAAAACAAUUGGCAGCCGGCGUACUUGUUUCGGAGCGCAGCACAUUUUGCGAUCCAGAUCAACGUACAGCGGCAUCCAAGAAGCCUUAUUUAACGCUCUUGACCUCGGAUCAGGUAGGGAUACCCGCUGAACUUAAGCAUAUCAAUAAGCGGAGGA